AACCUCCGCAAUGUGAGAAAUCGCGACGGGGGGAUCCCAAGUGCCAUUCUUAACGGGAUGGCUUUUCAUUAGUGUAAAGAGCUUUUGGAAUAAGAGCUGGGCAAGACCGGUGCCAGCCGCCGCGGUAACACCGGCAGCUCUAGUGGUAGCAAUUUUUAUUGGGCCUAAAGCGUCCGUAGCCGGUUUAAUAAGUCUCUGGUGAAAUCCUGCAGCUUAACUGUGGGAAUUGCUGGAGAUACUAUUAGACUUGAGACCGGGAGAGGUUGGAGGUACUCCCAGGGUAGAGGUGAAAUUCUGUAAUCCUGGGAGGACCGCCUGUUGCGAAGGCGUCUAACUGGAACGGUUCUGACGGUGAGGGACGAAAGUUAGGGGCGCGAACCGGAUUAGAUACCCGGGUAGUCCUAACUGUAAACGAUGCGGACUUGGUGUUGGGGUGGCUUUGAGCUGCUUCAGUGCCGAAGGGAAGCUGUUAAGUCCGCCGCCUGGGAAGUACGGUCGCAAGACUGAAACUUAAAGGAAGU
rnacentral:rRNA from 1 species